AGCUCCAGUAGCGUAUAUUAAAGUUGUUGCAGUUAAAAAGCUCGUAGUUGGAUUUCUGGUCUAAUGCGCCUGGCCCGCCGCGGUUACGUGUGUGAGUGCCGGUGUGCGUUGACCAUCUUCCUAGGAAACGGUGCUACCCUUCACUGGGUUGGCGCCGCGAUCUAGGACUUUUACUUUGAAAAAAUUAGAGUGUUUAAAGCAGGCUUUUGCUAUGAAUACAUUAGCAUGGAAUAAUAAUCUAGGACUUCGGUUCUAUUUUGUUGGUUUCUAGGACUGAAGUAAUGAUUGAUAGGGAUCGUUGGGGGUGCUAGUAUUGGCCGGCCAGAGGUGAAAUUCUUGGAUUCGGCUAAGACUAACUUAUGCGAAAGCAUUCACCAAGGAGGUCUUCUUUA
rnacentral:rRNA from 1 species